rnacentral:misc_RNA from 1 species
GAUGAAGACGCAGCGAAAUGCGAUAAGUAAUGUGAAUUGCAGAAUUCAGUGAAUCAUCGAAUCUUUGAACGCACAUUGCGCCCAUUAGCAUUCUAGUGGGCAUGCCUGUUCGAGCGUCAUUUCAACCCUUAAGCCCUGUUGCUUAGCGUUGGGAGCCUACAGUACUGUAGCUCCCCAAAGUUAGUGGCGGAGUCGGUUUCACACUCUAGACGUAGUAAUUUUUUCUCGUCUGUAGUUGAGCCGGUCCCCUGCCGUAAAACACCCAAUUUAUCAAGGUUGACCUCGGAUCAGGUAGGAAUACCCGCUGAACUUAAGCAUAUCAAUAAGCGGAGGA